UACGUAGGCAGCGAGCGUUGUUCGGAAUUACUGGGCGUAAAGAGUGUGUAGGCGGUGCUCUAAGUUCGGUGUGAAAAUCUCCUGCUUAACUGGGAGGGUGCGCCGAAAACUGGAGUGCUCGAGCGUGGGAGAGGAAAGCGGAAUUCCUGGUGUAGCGGUGAAAUGCGUAGAUAUCAGGAGGAACACCUGCGGUGUAGACGGCUUUCUGGACCAUUGCUGACGCUGAGACACGAAAGCGUGGGUAGCAAACAGG
rnacentral:rRNA from 1 species